rnacentral:rRNA from 1 species
AUUGAACGCUGGCGGCAGGCCUAACACAUGCAAGUCGAACGAGUGGCGGACGGGUGAGUAAUGUCUGGGAAACUGCCUGAUGGAGGGGGCUAACUACUGGCAACGGUAGCUAAUACCGCAUACCAUCAGAUGUGCCCAGAUGGGAUUCGCUAGUUGGUGGGGUAACGGCUGACCAGGGCGACGAUCCCUAGCUGGUCUGAGAGGAUGACCAGCCACACUGGAACUGAGACACGGUCCAGACGCCUACGGGAGGAAGCAGGGGGGAAUCUUGCACAAUGGGCGCAAGCCUGAUGCAGCCAUGCCGCGUGAAUGAAGAAGGCCGUCGGGUUGUAAAGCACUUUCAGCGGGGAGGCGUUACCCGCAGAAGAAGCACCGGCUAACUCCGUGCCAGCAGCCGCGGUAAUAC